GAAGAAACAGAGCUGUUAACGUAUUUCCUAGAAUUUUCCAUUCCAGUUUGAGAUACAAGAAUGUCUGGAAGGCAGAGGGUAAUCUAAGAUCUCCUUUAUACCCUUAAUUCCUGAAGAUCAUCACAAUCAAGGAGACUUUAAAUCCCUGGAUAAGUCUCGGCAAGGGGAUGAUGAAUAGAUGAGAAGCAGCAGCAGAAUGCUGCAAUAAUACUUAUCCAAAAAUCUGCCAUGGUUCUUUUACUGAAGAGAAGAGAUUGUGAAACAAAAGUGGGGUGGGAGGCGAGGUAGGCAUUUGGCUAAUACAAAAGAACGAGCAGUGCCAUGCAGAUGAAUCACACUCCUCUCAUCAAAAACAAGUGGUCCCAUGGCACCAGAACUAACAGAGCCUGGAUUCCAGCAGGACCACAUGACUUCAUUUGGGGCUUUGAGAGAAGAAAUGCAAAAGUAUAUUUAAGCUGAGAAGGGAAAGUUUGUGAUCCAGAUACUCUGGAGGAUGACGGAGAGUGUGCAGGCAGCUUGCUUUCACCUGGAUAAUGCCUUCAUCCUGUAUUUCCCAAUCUUCCUAUGGAUGUGUCUGCAAAGCUGUUGGCAAAACAGAGGUCAUCACUUUAGGAAGCCUGCGCUGUUGAAAUGAAUAUAACAAAUUACCAUUAAAUCAGAUGAAGCCUUUCAAUGGCUUUGGGCAGCAAACUGCUGGGUCUUGAUCUUAAACCUCAGUAAUGUUUCCAAAAUGAGUGCUCAGCGUGGAGGUCUGUCAGCAGGUCUGCAGCCACAGAGAUCUGGAGAAUGACUUCAUCAUCAAGAAGAGCUUCAAAGAGCCACCAGAGGCAGGGCAGAGUGGGGAUAUUUAUCUCCUGGGUUGGUACUGGUGGUCUUGCAGUGAGCAGCUAUUA
rnacentral:lncRNA from 1 species